GACUAACGCUGGCGGCGUGCCUAAUACAUGCAAGUUGAGCGCUGAAGGUUGGUACUUGUACCAACUGGAUGAGCAGCGAACGGGUGAGUAACGCGUGGGGAAUCUGCCUUUGAGCGGGGGACAACAUUUGGAAACGAAUGCUAAUACCGCAUAAAAACUUUAAACACAAGUUUUAAGUUUGAAAGAUGCAAUUGCAUCACUCAAAGAUGAUCCCGCGUUGUAUUAGCUAGUUGGUGAGGUAAAGGCUCACCAAGGCGAUGAUACAUAGCCGACCUGAGAGGGUGAUCGGCCACAUUGGGACUGAGACACGGCCCAAACUCCUACGGGAGGCAGCAGUAGGGAAUCUUCGGCAAUGGACGAAAGUCUGACCGAGCAACGCCGCGUGAGUGAAGAAGGGUUUCGGAUCGUAAAACUCUGUUGGUAGAGAAGAACGUUGGUGAGAGUGGAAAGCUCAUCAAGUGACGGUAACUACCCAGAAAGGGACGGCUAACUACGUG
rnacentral:rRNA from 1 species